GACCUGAUGCAGCCAUGCCGCGUGUGUGAAGAAGGCCUUCGGGUUGUAAAGCACUUUCAGUUGUGAGGAAAAGUUAGUAGUUAAUACCUGCUAGCCGUGACGUUAACAACAGAAGAAGCACCGGCUAACUCCGUGCCAGCAGCCGCGGUAAUACGGAGGGUGCGAGCGUUAAUCGGAAUUACUGGGCGUAAAGCGCACGCAGGCGGUUUGUUAAGCUAGAUGUGAAAGCCCCGGGCUCAACCUGGGAUAGUCAUUUAGAACUGGCAGACUAGAGUCUUGGAGAGGGGAGUGGAAUUCCAGGUGUAGCGGUGAAAUGCGUAGAUAUCUGGAGGAACAUCAGUGGCGAAGGCGACUCCCUGGCCAAAGACUGACGCUCAUGUGCGAAAGUGUGGGUAGCGAACAGGAUUAGAUACCCUGGUAGUCCACACCGUAAACGCUGUCUACUAGCUGUUUGUGACUUUAAGUCGUGAGUAGCGAAGCUAACGCGCUAAGUAGACCGCCUGGGGAGUACGGCCGCAAGGUUAAAACUCAAA
rnacentral:rRNA from 2 species